UUAUAGCCUCUCACGUCUGUUCUUGUUCCUUUCGUUGCUGCUGAUGCUUUCAAAUUCUUGUGUUCCAUAUUCCAAUUUUUCAAGUAUUUUUUAAUCUGUUUUGGGUUUUUUUUAGUUGGUUUUCAAUCCAUAAAGGUAAGGUUGAUCGCUUUUACUCGAUUUUGUUGUUGCAAGUGUUCGUUAAGCAUGUGCGUUGGUUGAAUUUCAGGUUUAUGGUACAAAGGGUGUAUUUUGGAUUAACUAAUUAAUUCAGUUCGUUUUAGGGGAUUUUCAUGAGACGAUUGGCGAUCUUCCAACGACCUAAAUUUCGUGUUAUUGUUGUACGUUAAAUGGUAAUCCUCACACUUUGGCGGGUCAGUGCAAACGGGAGCUCAGUUAAUGUAAUAACCUAUUUAAAUUGAUUUAUCUAAAAUUUGGUAUUUUGGUUCUAUAAAUUUUUGGACCCUCUAAACUUUUUAGACGGUUUAGAUUUUUAAACUUUAUUUCCAUAUUUUGCUUUACUACUCAAAUGUUUUAGUUGACAAAAUUCGCUUCUCUAUAAAAUUAAAUGCUUUCAAACAA